CUAACCUCCCUCUCCAGUGUACCUUAUCCUUGUUUCUUUUGUUUCUUCUUUCACAUCUCUAACAUGCGAGUGUAACUAAUGAUUGUCUGUCAUUUGAUCCUGUCCAUUUACAUACUAACAUCAAUUCUUAUUUUACUGUAUUUCACAUGCAUCAGCACAAGACAAGAAGUGGAGAGUAAAUAUAUGGCCCUAUGGAUAAGUGAUAUAUUGCUUUUAAUCUCAAGAGGAUGUAGGUCAAGAGUGCACUAAGCUGCUCACAUCCCAGAGAUUGGAAUUUCUUUUGCAAGGAUUUAGCUCGUGUGUCUACAGGUUUCUCAGUAAAGAUGUUUGGCUUCAAUUUUUGAGUUUUUUUUCCCCCUGCAACAUGAUAGGCAACAACAACAAUAAAGCAUUAGUCCCAAAUAUUGAGGUUAUCAUGAAUGAAAGCUAUAGCUUGGUGUUACCACUCAAAGUAUUCCCUGCUUUUCACGGUGAAUGAUUCUGGGACUUCUCAACAAGGGUUGCUUGGGGAGUUCCAUUACUUAAUAAAGACGGCAUUCCUUUCAUCUCUGGAUUAAUUUCUUAAGGUUGCUUAGUAUACCAUGGAAUUAUAUUAGAAAUGUGGCUCCUGUGAAAUAUCACAUGAAUCUAGAGCCUUGUUGGAAUUUUUUGUUUAUUGCUGUCUGAUAGGUUCAGGCUUGCUGGUGUAUUUGUAUUUCUUCUGCUGGUUCAGAUUUGCUGCUGUAUUUGUGUUGCUGUUUUUCAGCUUGGUUUCAAUGAAAUUUCUGCUUGAUUA